rnacentral:rRNA from 1 species
UACAUAGACCUCGAGCGUUAUCCGGAUUUACUGGGCGUAACGCGUGCGUAGGUGUCUUCACAAGUCUCUAGUGAAAUCUCCGGGCCCAACUCGGAAACUGUUAGAGAAACUGUGAGGAUCGAGUAUCGCAGAGGCAGACGGAAUGCUUGGUGUAGCGGUAAAAUGCGUAGAUAUCGGGAGGAACACCAGUGGCGAAGGCGACUACCUGGCCUGUUCUUGACGCUGAGGCGCGAAAGCUAGGGGAGCAAACGGG